UGAGAGGGCUCCACAGGAGACAGAGCA
rnacentral:misc_RNA from 1 species